rnacentral:rRNA from 1 species
AUUGAACGCUGGCGGCAGGCCUAACACAUGCAAGUCGAGCGGAUGAAGGGUGCUUGCUCCUGGAUUCAGCGGCGGACGGGUGUGUAAUGCCUAGGAAUCUGCCUGGUAGUGGGGGAUAACGUCCGGAAACGGGCGCUAAUACCGCAUACGUCCUGAGGGAGAAAGUGGGGGAUCUUCGGACCUCACGCUAUCAGAUGAGCCUAGGUCGGAUUAGCUAGUUGGUGGGGUAAAGGCCUACCAAGGCGACGAUCCGUAACUGGUCUGAGAGGAUGAUCAGUCACACUGGAACGGAGACACGGUCCAGACUCCUACGGGAGGCAGCAGUGGGGAAUAUUGGGCAAUGGGCGAGAGCCUGAUCCAGCCAUGCCGCGUGUGUGAAGAAGGUCUUCGGAUUGUAAAGCACUUUAAGUUGGGAGGAAGGGCAGUAAGUUAAUACCUUGCUGGUUUGACGUUACCAACAGAAUAAGCACCGGCUAACUACGUG